GGCCUCUGGUAGAAAUGGCAGUCAAUGGCAAAACGCAACCUCCAUCGAUGCCAGGCGACAGUGACUCUUUUUGUUUCCAGCCUCCCUCAAGUGUAGCUUUGUAUCUUACUGUAUUCACUCACUGGCCAUUAAGGAUGGGUAUUUUGGUUGUCUAGGCCUCCUUGGGGUGUCAAAAAGGAGAGGCUGGCGGGGGUAGCGAAGGGAGUGAAUAGGUAUAGCCUCUUUAAUACACAUGCAUUGUGGCGACAAUGAGUAGGGGAGGGGUGCUAUAUAGAUUGGUAAUGACUUUGUGAUAUAUUAUAGCAAUCUCAGUGACAUUUACUUCGCUAUUGUAUAUGAAGUUAAAUAGUGC
rnacentral:sRNA from 2 species